AUUAACAUAACUCAUAGACUAAAAUAAUAUCAAUAACAUUUCCCCAGCUCUUUGUAGAUUAUAUUUUCUUGUAUAGGGAAAUGGCCAAAGUCCUCGUAUCAAUGUUACUCCUACUCCAAGUGAGUUGUUUCAUUGUAUUUGCUAAGGACCACCACCAUCACUCAUCGAUCCCAAGUCCUAUACACCCACCUUCUCCGGCUCCUAUCCAACCUCAUCUUCAUGAUGUCUAUUUUCAUAAACAUGUUUCUGUACACCCUCAUUUAUCCUUUGGUUACGAAGUAGAUACAGAUCAUAAACAUCAUUCCCACCAUCACCAUCAUUCAUCAACCUCAAGCCCUGUUCACCCACCUUCUUGGACCCCUGUCGAUCCUCCUGUUCAUGAUGUCUAUUUUCACAAACAUGUUCCUGUACACCAUCAUUUAUCCUCUGGUUACGAAGUAGAUACAGAUCAUAAACAUCAUUCCCACCAUCACCAUCAUUCAUCAACCUCAAGCCCUGUUCACCCACCUUCUUGGACCCCUGUCGAUCCUCCUGUUCAUGAUGUCUAUUUUCAGAAACAUGUUCCUGUGCACCCUUAUUUAUCCUCUGGUCACGAAGUAGAUACAGAUCAUAAACAUCAUUCCCAUCAUCAUCAUCAUUCAUCAACCUUAAGCCAUGUUCACUCGCCUUCUCCGGCCCCUAUCCAACCUCAUCUUCAUGAUGUCUAUUUUCACAAACAUGUUUCUGUACACCCUCAUUUAUCCUCUAGUUACAAAGUAGAUACAGAUCAUAAACACCACUCCCAACAUCACCAUCACUCAUCAACAUCAAGCCCUGUUCACCCACCUUCUUCGACCCAUGUCCAUCCUCCUUUGUCCCCCAGUUACGGAAUAGAUAUAGAUCAUAAGCACAAGAUCCAUCAUCAUCAUCACUCAUCAACUCCAGCUCCUAUUCAUCCCCCUUCUUCGGUCCCUAGCCAUCCUCCACUUUUGAAUCGUCUUAAUUACAAACUUAACCAUGCAUCAUUCACAUCCAAUCACUAGAAGCUUUGUAGUUUUUCCCAAUAAUGAGUGACAUUAUAUGAUGUAAUAGAAUAUAAAUAAAAUUAUGUUUAUUACUUUUGUUUGAUUUGAUGUAUCUAGUUGUCUUUGUUGUUUUCAAUCUCGAAUCAACGAAAUUUAAACUUCAAACAAACAAA
rnacentral:lncRNA from 1 species